GUUAGGAAUAUUGGACAAUGGGCGAAAGCCUGAUCCAGCCAUGCCGCGUGAACGAUGAAGGCCUUCGGGUUGUAAAGUUCUUUAGCCGAUGAUUAUAAUGACUGUAGUCGGAAAAUAAGCCCCGGCUAACUUCGUGCCAGCAGCCGCGGUAAUACGAAGGGGGCGAGCGUUAUUCGGAAUCACUGGGCGUAAAGCGUGCGUAGGCGGUUUUGUAAGUUAGGAGUGAAAGCCCAGGGCUCAACCUUGGAAUUGCUCUUAAAACUGCAAGGCUCGAAUCUCGGAGAGGAGAGCGGAAUUUCCAGUGUAGCAGUGAAAUGCGUAGAUAUUGGAAGGAACACCAGUGGCGUAAGCGGCUAUCUGGACGAGUAUUGACGCUGAGGCACGAAAGCGUGGGGAUCAAACAGGAUUAGAUACCCCUGUAGUCC
rnacentral:rRNA from 1 species